rnacentral:lncRNA from 1 species
AGCCGUGGGCAUGUGACGAGAGCCUUGUGGCCAGGGCUCAUAAGUUAAAGACUGACGACCUAAUCGUUGUCGUGCGUGUCUAGCCCGGUCCUCACUGCUGACGUCACAGGCGCUUUUAAAUUCCCAUGCAUUCUUACGGCCCGAGCACUAACGAGCACAUCCCGGCUUUCCUCUUGCACAUAGUUCCGCACUGAUAAGUCCAAUUCUUCCGUGGUUUAGUGAUCUUUUUCUUCCUUUUGUCGAUGAGUAGAUGAUGGGGCCGCCGCCCAGCUACCAGCCCCUGAUCCAGGCUUACGACAUCGCGGACGGUCAGUGCAGCGGUAUCACCUCAAAUGCGCCGGGCGUGAUCAAAACGGCGGCGGCCGAGACCUGUCGGCAGGCUUUCCUCACACUGGAUCAGGCCGGGAAGAACGUCUGUCACGGGUGGUCCGAGGCCAAGUGCCGUAGACUUUCAGGCCAUACCCGUUACAAAUGCACCGUUCAGAUGCCACGCUGCUGGGCCAAUUUCUCUCCGAGACCCAGGACCCUCCUCGAAUGCGCCGAUAGUGACCUCCUCGAUUUCCUCAACAGAAAACGCUCACGGCGUGAUGAUGGUGCCAGCAGCUCAGGACAUGCCCGUGCCAGUGGCUCAGGUUAUACUGGUGCCGGUGGCUCAGGUCGUACCAGUCCACAACAUGCUUCACGUCCACCAUCUCUUCAAAAUCCUCCAUCCCAUUAUUAUCCCUCAUUCCACUAUCCCUCCUCACAGGAAAAUCUAUCAAUUGGACAGGGAGCAUACCCUCCAUAUUCUUCAAAUCCUCAAUAUCCUAUAGCCCCUGAAUACUAUACGCGGGGGAGCUCGAUUUUAGAUUAUUCACUGCCUCCAACACCUCGAGAACCUAGACCUGCGGAUCCUCACCUUCUGAGGGAUGACGAUUUUGGUGUGGCUGACGUACCGUAUGGAUCACCUAUGUCUCCUCCUGGGCCUGAUUCAAUAUGUGUGGAUGACAUACCGUACGGGUCACCUAUAUUUUUGGAUCAUAAUCCAGCACCUACAGAUAAAGAAGAAGAACCCCCAAGCACCUCUCCAGGACGUGGAGGCUCCUCAACAACCCGCCGAGGCAAAGGGAAAAAAGGGGAAUCAGGUAUGUACGUUUUUUUAAGUUCUUAACUCAUAGCGAGCGCAUUUUGCUUUAAACCCUACCAUUAGCUUAAUUGCAAUGAAGCUCUUGCAUGUGUGGGGAAUUUGCGAUUCAACCUCUUUUUUUUUCGUAAAAUUCUGCGAGAAACACGAUGGGGCCACUAUUUCCUCUGACUCAAACUCCAAAACUGAAAAAAAGUUCUCAAAGUUGAGGCGGUAACAAACUGAUUUAAUGACUACGUCAUUCGAUAUAACAUCGGACUAUUGGUUCAAACCAAAACUAACUAACAUAACCUCAUGUGCGAAUUCUUUAAAGUUUAGUC